UUCCUUCCCCUCCCCUCUCACUGUUGUUCAUCAGGAUUGUCGCAACUACCUGCGUCUUGGUUCCGGUUCAACCUUCUGACCGCAGGGCAUUGCUUCUACUGCAAAGAUUAACACUAUACUUCAACCAAACAUGUACACCUUGCAGUCUAGGCAUUGUUUUAUAUUAUUCCCAUAUAUCAAUAUGAGUUCACACAACACUGAUGGCCGACAACCUUCUCUACCCUUGGAUUAGGAUCCCACAUAUGAUUGAUGGGUGAAGAUUUUUUUCUCUACACUUGCAUCAAGCUAAUUUUUAUCAUUGUAGAACUUCAGUCAAGAAGACAGUUAACUUAUAUUUUGUUUUCAUUUAGAAUAUGGUUUGUCAAUUCUAGCUUAUAAGCCUUUUAUAUGGAAUUCCAUGGAUCCUAUAUUUCUAUUCAGACAACAUUGGCAGCCUUUAAUUC